rnacentral:rRNA from 2 species
GACGAACCGUACGAACGUUAUUCGGAAUUACUGGGCUUAAAGGGUGCGUAGGCUGCGCAGAAAGUUGGGUGUGAAAUCCCUCGGCUUAACCGAGGAACUGCGCCCAAAACUACUGUGCUCGAGGGAGACAGAGGUGAGCGGAACUUAGGGUGGAGCGGUGAAAUGCGUUGAUAUCCUAAGGAACACCCGUGGCGAAAGCGGCUCACUGGGUCUCUUCUGACGCUGAGGCACGAAAGCUAGGGUAGCGAACGGG